UAGGGUGCAGGGUAGUCAGGUAGGGUGGUCAGCUAGGGUGGAGGGUAGUCAGGAAAUGUAUAGGGUGGUCAGGUAGGGUGGAGGGUGGUCAGGUAGGGUGGAGGGUAGUCAGGAAGGGCUUCUACACCUGCAUUGCUUGCUGUUUGGGGUUUUAGGCUGGGUUUCUGUACAGAACUUUGAGAUAUCAGCUGAUGUACGAAGGGCUAUAUAAAUACAUUUGAUUUGAUUUUGAUUUGGGUGCAGGGUAGUCAGGUAGGGUGGUCAGCUAGGGUGGAGGGUAGUCAGGAAAGGUAUAGGGUGGUCAGGUAGGGUAUAGGGUGGUCAGGGAGGGUGGUCAGGUAGGGUGGAGGGUGGUCAAGUAGGGUAUAAGGUGGUCAGGUAGGGUGGUUAGGUAGGGUAUAGGGUAGUCAGGCAAGGAGGGGAGUCAGGUAGGGUAUGGGGUGGUCAAAUAGGGUGGUCAGGCAGGGUGGAGGGGAGUCAGGGAGGG